ACUCAAAGGAAUAGACGGGGGCCCGCACAAGCGGUGGAGCAUGUGGUUCAAUUCGACGCAACGCGAAGAACCUUACCUGGGCUCGAACGGCUCACGAACGCCGGUGGAAACACUGGUUUCCCGCAAGGGACGGGAGUCGAGGUGCUGCAUGGCUGUCGUCAGCUCGUGUCGUGAGAUGUUGGGUUAAGUCCCGCAACGAGCGCAACCCUUGUCCUGUGUUGCCACCGGGUUAUGCCGGGCACUCGCAGGAGACCGCCAGCGAUAAGCUGGAGGAAGGUGGGGAUGAUGUCAAGUCAUCAUGGCCUUUAUGUCCAGGGCUACACACGUGCUACAAUGGCCGGUACAAAGCGCUGCAAACUCGCAAGAGGGAGCUAAUCGCAAAAAACCGGUCUCAGUUCGGAUCGCAGGCUGCAACUCGCCUGCGUGAAGCUGGAAUCGCUAGUAAUGGCGUAUCAGAAUGAUGCCGUGAAUACGUUCCCGGGCCUUGUACACACCGCCCGU
rnacentral:rRNA from 1 species